rnacentral:rRNA from 1 species
GACGAACGCUGGCGGCGUGCUUAACACAUGCAAGUCGAACGGAAAGGCGCUGCUUUUGUGGGGUGCUCGAGUGGCGAACGGGUGAGUAACACGUGAGUAACCUGCCCUUGACUUUGGGAUAACUUCAGGAAACUGGGGCUAAUACCGGAUAGGAGCUCCUGCUGCAUGGUGGGGAUGGGAAGAUUCGGCGGUUGGGGCUGGUCUUGCGGCUUAUCAGCUUGUUUGUGGGGGAGGGGCUUACCAAGGCUUUGACGGGUAGCCGGCCUGAGAGGGUGACCGGGCACAAGAGGACUGAGAUACGCCGCAGACUCGUACGGGAGGCAGCAGUGGGGAAUAUUACACAAUGGGCGGAAGCCUGAGGCGACAACGCCCCGUGCGGAAUGCCGUCCUACGGGUUGUAAACCGCUUUCGCCUGUGACGAAGCGUGAGUGACGGUAAUGGGUAAAAAAGCACCGGCUAACUACGUG